UUUAUUUCUUGUCAUUGCGACUUUGACGCAGCUGUUGUCAUGACAACAGAUAACAAAACAUGUUUUGUUGAAGGAUUAUUGAUGAAUAAUUUUCCACAAAAAAUUGGAUUUUAACCACGAUAGGAAAAUAAGAACCUGCGCCUAUCCGUUUAAACCGAUUGUAGAAUUUAUGGAAAGAUAUGGCGAUCUGAGUAUGCCCACUGAAGG